CUUAUUGCUAGAUCAGAUGGAGGCCCCUGAGAAUCUCCUGCAGAGUAGACGACACAAGGGCAGGCUUUAAAAAUGCAAUGACAUUACCUACUUAGCUCUUUGUCUCUUGCGAAAGUUGGGAAACCGUCAUAAAACCUACGCCUUCCUGGGAAACUUUUGCCUGCCAAGAUGAAUCUGGUUUUGCAACUCACGUCCAUCUAUGGAAUGUCCAGGAGGGCCGAGGACUGAGUGGACUUAUUUGGCUGUCCAGAUGUAGGCUACCAGAUCUAGAGAGAAAUGUACAGCUCAGGCUUUUGGAAAUAGGCUACUCCGCUCACUCUCAGUCUGACUACCUGACACAUCUCCGAGUGUGAAGUCGCAGUAUACCAAAUGUACAGCAGAGGGCGUAAUGCCCCAUCUGAUACGAUAACAUAGCCAAAGGUUCAUCAAAAUAAAGUUAUCCUUCUUAACCAUUACGUUCCAGUCUUUGUUUACAGAUAGACCUACUGCAACACGACAUUUAGGCUAUUUAAUUGAUUCCUGAUUUCUCUGGUGACACAAGGUGACACAAGGUGCACAAGAGGCAUGCAGAUGUGUAUUAAGCAUCUGUCUGGCACCACGCAGUGACUCAGU